rnacentral:rRNA from 1 species
CCUACGGGUGGCAGCAGUGAGGAAUAUUGGUCAAUGGCCGGAAGCCUGAACCAGCCAAGCCGCGUGAAGGACGAAGGUCCCAAGGAUUGUAAACUUCUUUUGUCAAGGGACAAAAUCAGGCUCGAGUGCCUGACCGGGGGUACUUGAAGAAAAAGCAUCGGCUAACUCCGUGCCAGCAGCCGCGGUAAUACGGAGGAUCCGAGCGUUAUCCGGAUUUAUUGGGGUUAAAGGGUGCGUAGGCGGAAUGUUAAGUCAGGCGUAAAAGGCCCGGGCUCAACCCCCGGAAAGCAGUUGAUACGGGCUGUCUUGAGAUGUGGAGAGGUAGGCGGAAUGCGCGGUGUAGCGGUGAAAUGCUUAGAUAUUGCGCAGAACUCCGAUUGCGAAGGCAGCAUACCGGCGGCGAUCUGACGCUGAGGCACGAAAGCGUGGGUAUCGAACAGGAUUAGAUACCCGAGUAGUC